AACAUAGUGAAAGGAGGUGGUCCAGUGUCUAGAGAGGUAUUGGAGAGAGGUGUCGGAACAGUUUGGGAGGUCCUUGACUAAGGCAACCCUUGGUCAAGGACCAAAUGAAUUGGUGAAGCCUAACCGGCCCACCUCCGAAAUUCUCGAGGGUCGUCCGCAACGGGCGGCCC
rnacentral:sRNA from 1 species